rnacentral:lncRNA from 8 species
CCAAAAGUAGUGUGAAAUGCACUCAUAAGCAACAUGUAAAUAGAGGCUAUUUUUGCAGACGUCCUGUAUGAACUCCCCCUUGUUCUGCCACCAACUUGCGCGCAUCGCCCCGGUGCGGCAAUGUUUGUAAACACAGAAAGGUCUAUAGAAAAUGUAGUCUUUUGUUUUUAAACUGAAGUAACAAUAUCGACCUGCUGAUGUCAGUGUCGUGUCGUGUGCUUUUUUCUGUUGUUGCUGAAGUGUGGGCCUAUACCUGGCAAUAUGCUGUAAAUUAGCUAAUUGAGGAGGAGACAGAAAUUCAAAGUCAGGACAGACAGCCUGGUCGGAAUGCGGCAGUGGCCUCUUGCAGACGGCAGCAUCCAGGGAACCUAAAAAGGGAAGGAGUCUCACUCUGGGUUCCUGGCAGCAGUAAGAAGUAGCAGGCAGGCAGGCAGCAGGCUAAAUUAGGCUGUCUCAUUGACUUCCACUCCCCAGAGCCCUGUAGGCAGCCCUAAGGAAGGAAGGCCGUACCAGAGGCCCUUAUUGCCUGUUGCGCUACUGUGUCUCUGAGAGUCCCUGAAGAACCUCAGUCCCUGUGAAGGAGCUAAGUGUAGGUCAGUUGUAUCUGGAUAGAGGAGUGUUGUACUUUUGAAAGGGUGUUUUGGGAUUUUCUUGGGAUGCCGAUUGAUAACGGAUGUUCACAGACCUGACUAGAGCAAGGUGGGGAUGUGCUGAGUGCUGCUCUCCUCUCAAUAUUGACUUCAGAAGGCCAGUCUGUCUCCUGUCUCUACCACUGUGACAGAUUGACGGACUUGGCACUGAAGGUCUGAUAUACAAAUGCACUCAGAAUCCUUC